UACGUAGGUGGCAAGCGUUAUCCGGAUUUAUUGGGCGUAAGGAGGGUGUAGGCGGCUCUUCAAGUCAAAUGUAAAAUCUCUCGGCUUAACUGAGAGGGAACACUUGAUACUGUUGAGCUUGAGUGCAGUAGAGGAAAGCGGAAUUCCCGGUGUAGUGGUGAAAUGCGUAGAUAUCGGGAGGAACACCAGUGGCGAAAGCGGCUUUCUAGGCUGAUACUGACGCUGAGGCCCGAAAGCGUGGGGAG
rnacentral:rRNA from 1 species